rnacentral:rRNA from 1 species
CAACGCGAAGAACCUUACCAGGCCUUGACAUGCAGAGAACUUCCAGAGAUGGAUUGGUGCCUUCGGGAACUCUGACACAGGUGCUGCAUGGCUGCGUCAGCUCGUGUCGUGAGAUGUUGGGUUAAGUCCGUAACGAGCGCAACCCUUGUCCUUAGUUACCAGCACGUUAUGGUGGGCACUCUAAGGAGACUGCCGGUGACAAACCGGAGGAAGGUGGGGAUGACGUCAAGUCAUCAUGGCCCUUACGGCCUGGGCUACACACGUGCUACAAUGGUCGGUACAAAGGGUUGCCAAGCCGCGAGGUGGAGCUAAUCCCAUAAAACCGAUCGUAGUCCGGAUCGCAGUCUGCAACUCGACUGCGUGAAGUCGGAAUCGCUAGUAAUCGUGAAUCAGAAUGUCACGGUGAAUACGUUCCCGGGCCUU